rnacentral:rRNA from 1 species
AACACGAAGUGAGUGGCGAACGGGUGAGUAACACGUGGGUAACCUGCCCAGAAGUAGGGGAUAACACCUGGAAACAGAUGCUAAUACCGUAUAACAGAGAAAACCGCAUGGUUUUCUUUUAAAAGAUGGCUCUGCUAUCACUUCUGGAUGGACCCGCGGCGUAUUAGCUAGUUGGUGAGGUAAAGGCUCACCAAGGCAGUGAUACGUAGCCGACCUGAGAGGGUAAUCGGCCACAUUGGGACUGAGACACGGCCCAGACUCCUACGGGAGGCAGCAGUAGGGAAUCUUCCACAAUGGACGCAAGUCUGAUGGAGCAACGCCGCGUGAGUGAAGAAGGGUUUCGGCUCGUAAAGCUCUGUUGUUAAAGAAGAACGUGGGUAAGAGUAACUGUUUACCCAGUGACGGUAUUUAACCAGAAAGCCACGGCUAACUACGUGCCAGCAGCCGCGGUAAUACGUAGGUGGCAAGCGUUAUCCGGAUUUAUUGGGCGUAAAGCGAGC